rnacentral:rRNA from 1 species
GACGAACGCUGGCGGCGUGCUUAACACAUGCAAGUCGAACGGAAAGGCCCUGCUUUUGUGGUGUUCUCGAGUGGCGAACGGGUGAGUAACACGUGUGUAACCUGCCCUUUACUUUGGGAUAACUUCAGGAAACUGGGUCUAAUACCGGAUAUGAGCUCCUGCUGCAUGGUGGGUGUUUGUAAGUUUCGGCGGUUGGGGAUGGACUCGCGGCUUAUCAGCUUGUUGGUGGGGUAGUGGCUUACCAAGGCGUUGACGGGUAGCCGGCCUGAGAGGGUGACCGGCCACAGUGGGACUGGGGUACGGCCCAGACUCCUACGGGAGGAAGCAGGGGGGAAUAUUGCACAAUGGGCGGAAGCCUGAUGGAGCAACGCCGCGUGCGGGAGGACGGCCUUCGGGUUGUAAACCGCUUGCGCCUGUGACGAAGCGUGAGUGACGGUAAUGGGUAAAGAAGCACCGGCUAACUACGUG